rnacentral:rRNA from 1 species
AUUGAACGCUGGCGGCAGGCUUAACACAUGCAAGUCGAGCGAGCGGCGGACGGGUGAGUAAUGUCUGGGAAACUGCCUGAUGGAGGGCGAUAACUACCGGAAACGGUAGCUAAUACCGCAUACCAUCAGAUGUGCCCAGGUGGGAUGAGCUAGUUGGUGGGGUAACGGCUCACCAAGGCGACGCUCCAUAUCUGGUCUGAGAGGAUGACCAGCCACACUGGAACUGAGACACGGUCCAGAAGCCGAAGGGAGGCAGCAGUGGGGAAUAUUGGACAAUGGGCGCAAGCCUGAUGCAGCCAUGCCGCGUGUAUGAAGAAGGCCUUCGGGUUGUAAAGUACUUGCAGCGGGGAGGCGUUACCCGCAGAAGAAGCACCGGCUAACUCCGUGCCAGCAGCCGCGGUAAUUC